UCCCAUCUCGAGCUCCAGUCCGCCGCCACCUCCCGCGCCGCCCCGCCUCACCGCGCGCCGCACGCCGCCCGCCGCCGCACGCCGCCCGCCGCCGCCGCCCGCCGCCGCCGCCUCCUCCUCCAGCCCGCCGCCACGUCCUGCCCCGCCCCGCCUCAACAUCGGCCACCCGCCUCCGACGCCCCCGCGGGCCGCACGCCCCCGACGCUGCCGUGGGCCACCUGCCCCCAACGCCGCCGCGCGCCAGCCGCCGCACUCGCUAAGGACCUAGAAGCCUGCCGCCCCGCCCGGCGCACCCACUUCACUCGAGGUUGGGCGAGCACGGAAGCAGAGUUCGCGACGGCCGAUCGGAAUCCAUCGACCGGUUCUCUCUUUCUCUCCUCUCCCUUGGAUUCCUAGAUGUGGUGGAUCAAUCUUGGCUUCGUGGUGGCGGCGGAAGGAGCGCCGUGAGAGCAGAUUCCUGCUGGUGCUUGGGACGUUUUCGGCUGGGAUUGAUUUACCAGCUACGUCCAAGCAGGCCACUGGAUUGAUUUCACAAGGCUUAUUAGCUAUGUCCCAAUCCAAGCUAGCUGACUUACUAGCUACGUCCCAAGCAGGCCAAUCCAAUAUGUUGAUCGAUUUGAUUGUUCCCUCUGCAAAGUAAUAUAUCUGGAGGUCAGGAGAACGACAUGGAGCUGCAGACAUGCACUUGGGGCACAUGUUGACUUGCAGCUGCGUCUGCAAUCUCCCAAACAAAUGAGUAGCACCGUGUAGUUGUGGGCUUGCAAUAGGUUGGCGGGUAAAUGGUCAUAGAGAGAAUACAACACGCAUGUUGACUGCUCACUGCUGCGAGUAUUCCAUUCAAGUCGACAACUACAUUUGAAAGAGUUUUAUGCCACCGUAUGAUCGAUGAAUUCAAGGUUUGAGGUCCGUCCGGGGGCUGGAGCAGAAGCUUCAGACGAUGGAGUUGAGCGACCCACUCAUCGAUCCCAGAUGUGCUCAAGUGAAGCCAGGGAUCUGAUCCAUCCAUCUCAGAGCGGAUGAAUCAACAGAGGAUCCAUCCGGUCAAACAAGUGAAUUUAGGAAUCAACAAAGGAUCCAUCCGGUCAAACAAGUGAAUUUAGGCUUGAUUAAUUAGCAGGAGCAUACAAGUGUCUUGUGCACAUGUAGUUUAGGUGUGUACAGGUUUAGGUAGUCAACUGUUAAGCAUGGUAGGAUUCGCAAGCUGGUCAGUAGGUGGCGUCAUGGUAUGAUCUAGCAAGACGGCGGAGGAGGUGGCCGGUGGUGACUGGGGAGGAUACGAAGGGAGAUGGAGAGGUUGAGGGAAAUUUAUGGGUCUGAACUGGAGCAGAGGGAGAUAUAGGAUGGGUGAGAAAGAUGGAAAUGUUGAUAGAUAACACCUGUAGGAAAGAGAUGUUGAUAGUUUACUUUUCUUCAUCUCCAACGCAACUAUCAACUGAUGCGUUGACUGUAUCAUCACAGUUCUCAUGUAAGCAAACGACCUUGCUUCUUCCCAAAUUAGAUUUUGAAAUAUUUCACUUCUAUUGUUUCUUUAGGCAUACUGCAUUUGAUCAUGGUUCUCAUGUGAUCGGCUACCUGCAGAUCUACAUAAUAGGGCGAUGAUGUGCAAUAUAGGAGACUUGACCAUCCAAUGAUUUUUUUGCAUUUGGUUUUGCUGCAUCGGUCAGUAUGUGCAUAUCCUUGGAUGUUGUAUUGCUUUUCCUAACUGUGUUUUCUAGAUCAGACAAUGAUUCACAAUGUACUAGGAGGUUUGGACAGCAAGUGAUUGCUGCAUCACAUUUUCUAGGUUGUUAACUCAAGGUAAAUACGAGCACAUCUUAUCCUUACAACGUUUGUCAUUUCUUCUCAUUGUUUGAACCUAUAUUUGAGUAUAAUCAGAUUGCAUAGUUCUUCUCGACACCCAUCAUCAUCAUCAUGGCCUAAUCCUCAAGCGCCCCAUUGCAGAAUUUGAUUAGUGUGGCCAAACAGAUUGGUUGUCUUGCGAUCCCUUCUAACAUUUGGAGUUAAAUGUUGGUUGGUUGCUUUCGACUUAUCACCAUUUGGACAGUUCUAUCUCUUUCGCACCUCUUCCUUUGUGACAAAGGGAUGAAGCUAUUUGGCUUUGAAAUUUGAAAUAAAGGCCUGAAGUUGGCACCAACGCUCCAAGGCAAAUUUGAUACAUCAAGAUUAACCUUUACAUAGCUUUUGUUACUCAAGAUAUAUCAGAGAAGCACUUCCUUAUCAAUUAUCAGUGCUUUAUUUUUAGAUAUCAUGGAGCAUACGUAAUCCUGGCAUCAACUUUUGUGUAGCACUUGAUAUAUGUUUAUAAUCAUUUGCAAGACUGCGUUAAGAAAAUGAUGUGAAAUAUUUGGAUUAGUGCAUGCUGCGAGUGGGCUGGAAUGACAUGUUUCCUCUCUCUAUAUAUAUUGUCAUAGUGGUGAACUGUUAUAGGUACAUGCAGAUCUGACGCCAUUUUUACAUAUUUGCAUAUAUCAACGGUCAAUACUAUUUUUUCUGUUUUCCUACUGAUAUUUACAUAUUACUUUGCCUUUUAAAAGCUACAAACGCUUUUCUCUGUGCAGACCAUGAAGAGAUGCAUCUUAGAGGACAAGCAAUGCCACGUUUUCAUUGUACUGAAAAUACCUAGUUUCCUGGUCAAUUUUGUUAGUAAUCUAUAUGUAACUUUAUUUCUUAUUGAUUUUCUCUGUGCAGACCAUAAAGGGAUGCCUCCCUGGGCAAGAAUGUCAUAUUUUCGUUGUACUAAAAAACAUA